rnacentral:lncRNA from 1 species
CCUGAAGCGGCGAGUCCCCACUACGCUGGCUUCAGUGGUUUGCUAGCUUUCCCUGACACCCAGGUUGGAUGAGUCUCUCACCUGGGGGUUGAGUCCCCUCCACCCUGGCUGCAGAAGUAAAGGAUCUCCCCCUGACACACAGGUGCAAGGGUCUCCAUCCUGGAGAGGCGAGUCCCCUCUACUCUCGCUGCAGUGGUAUAGGAGGUGCCCCCUACACCCAGGUGGGAGGGGUCUCCUGCUUCCAGUGGCGAGUCCCCUCUACCCUGCUAUGGCAGUAUUUGAACUCUGCUGACAACCAGGUGGAAGGGAUCUUCCACCUGGAGGUUCAAGGCCCCACUCCCUUGGCUCUGGCUGUAUAGGAGCUCCCCCAACACC